rnacentral:rRNA from 1 species
GACGAACGCUGGCGGCGUGCUUAACACAUGCAAGUCGAACGGAAAGGCCCUGCUUUUGUGGGGUGCUCGAGUGGCGAACGGGUGAGUAACACGUGAGUAACCUGCCCUUGACUUUGGGAUAACUUCAGGAAACUGGGGCUAAUACCGGAUAGGAGCUCCUGCUGCAUGGUGGGGGUUGGAAAGUUUCGGCGGUUGGGGAUGGACUCGCGGCUUAUCAGCUUGUUGGUGGGGUAGUGGCUUACCAAGGCUUUGACGGGUAGCCGGCCUGAGAGGGUGACCGGCCACAUUGGGACUGAGAUACGGCCCAGACUCCUACGGGAGGCAGCAGUGGGGAAUAUUGCACAAUGGGCGGAAGCCUGAUGCAGCAACGCCGCGUGCGGGAUGACGGCCUUCGGGUUGUAAACCGCUUUCGCCUGUGACGAAGCGUGAGUGACGGUAAUGGGUAAAGAAGCACCGGCUAACUACGUGCCAGCAGCCGCGGUGAUACGUAGGGUGCGAGCGUUGUCCGGAUUUAUUGGGCGUAAAGGGCUCGUAGGUGGUUGAUCGCGUCGGAAGUGUAAUCUUGGGGCUUAACCCUGAGCGUGCUUUCGAUACGGGUUGACUUGAGGAAGGUAGGGGAGAAUGGAAUUCCUGGUGGAGCGGUGGAAUGCGCAGAUAUCAGGAGGAACACCAGUGGCGAAGGCGGUUCUCUGGGCCUUUCCUGACGCUGAGGAGCGAAAGCGUGGGGAGCGAACAGGCUUAGAUACCCUGGUAGUCCACGCUGUAAACGGUGGGUACUAGGUGUGGGGUCCAUUCCACGGGUUCCGUGCCGUAGCUAACGCUUUAAGUACCCCGCCUGGGGAGUACGGCCGCAAGGCUAAAACUCAAAGGAAUUGACGGGGCCCCGCACAAGCGGCGGAGCAUGCGGAUUAAUUCGAUGCAACGCGUAGAACCUUACCUGGGUUUGACAUGGAUCGGGAGUGCUCAGAGAUGGGUGUGCCUCUUUUGGGGUCGGUUCACAGGUGGUGCAUGGCUGUCGUCAGCUCGUGUCGUGAGAUGUUGGGUUAAGUCCCGCAACGAGCGCAACCCUUGUUCACUGUUGCCAGCACGUUAUGGUGGGGACUCAGUGGAGACCGCCGGGGUCAACUCGGAGGAAGGUGGGGAUGACGUCAAGUCAUCAUGCCCCUUAUGUCCAGGGCUUCACGCAUGCUACAAUGGCUGGUACAGAGAGUGGCGAGCCUGUGAGGGUGAGCGAAUCUCGGAAAGCCGGUCUCAGUUCGGAUUGGGGUCUGCAACUCGACCUCAUGAAGUCGGAGUCGCUAGUAAUCGCAGAUCAGCAACGCUGCGGUGAAUACGUCCCCGGGGCU